AGACCUGCUUUCCAGAUACCAAGCUAAGAACAUAUUUUAGACUUCGAAUUCCUGAAAACAUCACUGAGACUUGAUUGCCUGUUUGUCCUGAUUCUUGCAUCAAACCUAAAGUUCAGCAAAAGGUUUAUUUUAUCUGUCUCCUCUGUUUUACCUUGGGGUUCAGCAUCUGUACAGG
rnacentral:lncRNA from 1 species